CACAUGCAAGUCGAGGGGAAACGACAUCGAAAGCUUGCUUUUGAUGGGCGUCGACCGGCGCACGGGUGAGUAACGCGUAUCCAACCUGCCCACCACUUGGGGAUAACCUUGCGAAAGUAAGACUAAUACCCAAUGACGUCUCUAGAAGACAUCUGAAGGAGAUUAAAGAUUUAUCGGUGAUGGAUGGGGAUGCGUCUGAUUAGCUUGUUGGCGGGGUAACGGCCCACCAAGGCAACGAUCAGUAGGGGUUCUGAGAGGAAGGUCCCCCACAUUGGAACUGAGACACGGUCCAAACUCCUACGGGAGGCAGCAGUGAGGAAUAUUGGUCAAUGGGCGAGAGCCUGAACCAGCCAAGUAGCGUGCAGGAUGACGGCCCUAUGGGUUGUAAACUGCUUUUAUAAGGGAAUAAAGUGAGUCUCGUGAGACUUUUUGCAUGUACCUUAUGAAUAAGGACCGGCUAAUUCCGUGCCAGCAGCCGCGGUAAUACGGAAGGUCCGGGCGUUAUCCGGAUUUAUUGGGUUUAAAGGGAGCGUAGGCCGGAGAUUAAGCGUGUUGUGAAAUGUAGACGCUCAACGUCUGCACUGCAGCGCGAACUGGUUUCCUUGAGUACGCACAAAGUGGGCGGAAUUCGUGGUGUAGCGGUGAAAUGCUUAGAUAUCACGAAGAACUCCGAUUGCGAAGGCAGCUCACUGGAGCGCAACUGACGCUGAAGCUCGAAAGUGCGGGUAUCGAACAGGAUUAGAUACCCUGGUAGUCCGCACGGUAAACGAUGGAUGCCCGCUGUUGGUCUGAAUAGGUCAGCGGCCAAGCGAAAGCAUUAAGCAUCCCACCUGGGGAGUACGCCGGCACCGGGGAAACUCAAA
rnacentral:rRNA from 1 species